ACGGAAGGCAGCAGUGGGGAAUUUUGCGCAAUGGGGGGAACCCUGACGCAGCAACGCCGCGUGCGGGAUGAAGGCCUUCGGGUUGUAAACCGCUUUCAGCAGGGACGAUUAUGACGGUACCUGCAGAAGAAGCUCCGGCUAACUACGUGCCAGCAGCCGCGGUAAUACGUAGGGAGCGAGCGUUAUCCGGAUUCAUUGGGCGUAAAGCGCGCGUAGGCGGCUUGCUAAGCGGAACCUCUAAUCCGAGGGCUCAACCCCCGGCCGGGUUCCGAACUGGCAGGCUCGAGUGCGGUAGGGGCAAGUGGAAUUCCAUGUGUAGCGGUGGAAUGCGCAGAUAUAUGGAAGAACACCGAUGGCGAAGGCAGCUUGCUGGGCCGACACUGACGCUGAGGUGCGAAAGCGUGGGGAGCGGACAGGAUUAGAUACCCUGGUA
rnacentral:rRNA from 1 species